UUUGUUGCAUCAUACGGUAAAAACGUUUUUUGACAAGCCAAAAACGAACGAGAGCAUCCGCAGAGCCAUAACCUCAACGCUUUUGCGAACAAUUUGUAAAAAGAAAUAUUUUG